rnacentral:rRNA from 1 species
AUGAACGCUGGCGGCGUGCCUAAUACAUGCAAGUCGAGCGAACAGACGAGGAGCUUGCUCCUCUGACGUUAGCGGCGGACGGGUGAGCAACACGUGGAUAACCUACCUAUAAGACUGGGAUAACUUCGGGAAACCGGAGCUAAUACCGGAUAAUAUAUUGAACCGCAUGGUUCAAUAGUGAAAGACGGUUUUGCUGUCACUUAUAGAUGGAUCCGCGCCGCAUUAGCUAGUUGGUAAGGUAACGGCUUACCAAGGCGACGAUGCGUAGCCGACCUGAGAGGGGGAACGGACACAAUGGAACUGAGAAACGGUCCAGACUCCUACGGGAGGCAGCAGUAGGGAAUCUUCCGCAAUGGGCGAAAGCCUGACGGAGCAACGCCGCGUGAGUGAUGAAGGUCUUCGGAUCGUAAAACUCUGUUAUUAGGGAAGAACAAAUGUGUAAGUAACUAUGCACGUCUUGACGGUACCUAAUCAGAAAGCCACGGCUAACUACGUG